GGGGCGGGGGCUCAUCCGUGUCGGAUAUUGGGCGUAAGGGCUCGCAGGCGGUUUCUUAAGUCUGAUGUGAAAGCCCCCGGCUCAACCGGGGAGGGUCAUUGGAAACUGGGGAACUUGAGUGCAGAAGAGGAGAGUGGAAUUCCACGUGUAGCGGUGAAAUGCGUAGAGAUGUGGAGGAACACCAGUGGCGAAGGCGACUCUCUGGUCUGUAACUGACGCUGAGGAGCGAAAGCGUGGGGAGCGAACAGGAUUAGAUACCCCCGUAGUCCA
rnacentral:rRNA from 1 species